rnacentral:rRNA from 1 species
ACAGAGGGUGCGAGCGUUAAUCGGAAUUACUGGGCGUAAAGCGCGCGUAGGCGGCUUUGCAAGUCGGGUGUGAAAUCCCCAGGCUUAACCUGGGAACUGCAUUCGAGACUGCAUUGCUAGAGUAUGGGAGAGGGAAGUGGAAUUUCCGGUGUAGCGGUGAAAUGCGUAGAUAUCGGGAGGAACACCUGUGGCGAAAGCGGCGCACUGGACCACAACUGACGCUGAGGCGCGAAAGCUAGGGGAGCAAACAGGA